rnacentral:tRNA from 1 species
GCGGGAGUGUCUGAGUGGUCAAAAGAGCGAGGUUUAGGCCCUCGUGGCGUCAUGCCUACGCAGGUUCGAAUCCUGUCUCCCGCA